GACGUAGGGUGCAAGCGUUGUCCGGAUUUACUGGGCGUAAAGAGCGCGUAGGCGGUCUAGUAAGUGAGAAGUGAAAUCUCCAGGGCUCAACCCGGAAACUGCUUUUCAUACUGCCAGACUAGAGGGAUGCAGAGGUUUGUGGAAUUCCUGGUGUAGCGGUGAAAUGCGUUGAUAUCAGGAGGAACACCCAUGGCGAAGGCAGCUCGCUGGCCUAAAACGUGACU
rnacentral:rRNA from 1 species